UUUCCUUCCCCGGCUUGACAGAGACCUCCAAACUUUUACCGAGGGUUGGAACAAUCACCCUCUACGCACAGAGGGUAACAUGACACCCCAGCAGUUGUGGGACUUAGGACUGCUGCACAACAGAACAAAUGGGGAUGUAAAUGAACAUCCAGACCUCAACAUAGAUUGGCAGAGUGCUUUACACCAUGUUGAGACUGAUCAGCAAACCGGACUGGUUGUUCCGGAAUUCCCCUCUCCUCUAAAUGACCAUGAAAUGAUAGAGCUUCAAGCCAUUGUGGAUCCCACAGCCCCUUCUGACUCCUAUGGUCGAGACAUAUUCUGUUGCUGUAUUCAGAUCUUCCAGUAAAUACAGUAACAGGAAUAUGGGCCUGUCCUGUAAUCCAUUGCAAGAAGGCUCUUGGAGACAGUGACGAGCCAUUCUCAGACAAUGAGGAUUCACCUAAAAGAAACACAAAGUCACAAA